AUAGUCAGUUACAUCCGGAGUGGAAUCAUCAGUCGAUAUCCUCGUCGAUGCUGCUAUCUUAGUCGGUCAUCCGAAUAUUCAUCCCAACACUUAUCUCCUACUCCUGAGUCCAACUUUGUUUGAUAAAGUUGGGUGAAGGAAGUAAUUUGAAAUUUUGAUCCUUAAAUUCGGCCUUUGGAGUGUGUCUGUCAUGCCGUAUUCUUUACCAUCUGGAUUAAUUGCUGGGUCGGUUGUUAUCUCAGAAAAUCACACCAGUUGUUUUGUCAUUUCGCAGACCACACCACAAUUAUUGCUGUGGGCCACU
rnacentral:lncRNA from 1 species